GACGAACGCUGGCGGCGUGCUUAACGCAUGCAAGUCGAACGGAAAGGCCCUGCUUUUGUGGGGUGCUCGAGUGGCGAACGGGUGAGUAACACGUGAGUAACCUGCCCUUGACUUUGGGAUAACUUCAGGAAACUGGGGCUAAUACCGGAUAGGAGCUCCUGCUGCAUGGUGGGGGUUGGAAAGUUUCGGCGGUUGGGGAUGGACUCGCGGCUUAUCAGCUUGUUGGUAGGGUAGUGGCUUACCAAGGCUUUGACGGGUAGCCGGCCUGAGAGGGUGACCGGCCACAUUGGGACUGAGAUACGGCCCAGACUCCUACGGGAGGCAGCAGUGGGGAAUAUUGCACAAUGGGCGGAAGCCUGAUGCAGCAACGCCGCGUGCGGGAUGACGGCCUUCGGGUUGUAAACCGCUUUCGCCUGUGACGAAGCGUGAGUGACGGUAAUGGGUAAAGAAGCACCGGCUAACUACGUG
rnacentral:rRNA from 1 species